UACGAAGGGGGCUAGCGUUGCUCGGAAUUACUGGGCGUAAAGCGCACGUAGGCGGCUUUCUAAGUCGGGGGUGAAAUCCUGGAGCUCAACUCCAGAACUGCCUUCGAUACUGGAAAGCUCGAGUCCGGGAGAGGUGAGUGGAACUGCGAGUGUAGAGGUGAAAUUUCGUAGAUAUUUCGCAAGAACACCAGUGGCGAAGGCGGAUCUCUGGGCCAUUCUGACGCUGAGGAGCGAAAAGCGUGGGGGAGCGAACAGG
rnacentral:rRNA from 1 species